rnacentral:rRNA from 1 species
AGUUUGAUCAUGGCUCAGAACGAACGCUGGCGGCAGGCUUAACACAUGCAAGUCGAACGCGUGUAGCAAUACACGAGUGGCGCACGGGUGAGUAACGCGUGGAUAUCUGCCUUUUGGUUCGGAAUAACCCCGGGAAACUGGGGCUAAUACCGGAUGGUUCCUUCGGGAUAAAGAUUUAUCGCCAAAAGAUGAGUCCGCGUCCGAUUAGCUAGUUGGUGAGGUAAUGGCUCACCAAGGCGACGAUCGGUAGCUGGUCUGAGAGGACGAUCAGCCACACUGGGACUGAGACACGGCCCAGACUCCUACGGGAGGCAGCAGUGGGGAAUAUUGGACAAUGGGGGCAACCCUGAUCCAGCCAUGCCGCGUGAGUGAUGAAGGCCUUCGGGUUGUAAAGCUCUUUUGGCGGGGACGAUGAUGACGGUACCCGCAGAAUAAGCCCCGGCUAACUUCGUGCCAGCAGCCGCGGUAAGACGAAGGGGGCUAGCGUUGUUCGGAAUUACUGGGCGUAAAGCGAGUGUAGGUGGUUGUCCAAGUUGGAUGUGAAAGCCUUGAGCUCAACUCAAGAAAUGCAUUCAGGACUGGGCGGCUAGAGGACCGGAGAGGAUAGUGGAAUUCCCAGUGUAGUGGUGAA